rnacentral:lncRNA from 1 species
UUGUUUACAACUUAAUAAAUAAAAUGCUACGACUUGACUUCUAACAGCGGAGCGACUUGGAAUAAAAUGCUAAGAGAUGCCUUUACCUAUUCACGGUGGACCGAAUGUGUUAAUGACUACACGCUAGGCUGAUCCCUAUCUGCAAAAGGGGAAAUAAAGGGGUGUGAGUCUCAUUGACUCAGUGAUAAUCAUCGACUUAGCGAGUAGGGUGUAGAUGGGAAACAUGUAAACGACAGAUCAGUUUAAUAUAAAAAUGCAAAUUAUAAAAAUAAUUCGUUUCAAACCGGGAUUUGUGCCUUAUAUAAAAAUUAAGAAUUUCUUAUAAAGUAUAAAUAAUCGAGGUAAUAAAAUUUUUUCACAUCAAAAUAUAUAAAUAAUCAUUUUCGAAUCAAAUCAAUAAAAUUUAGCAAGCUCCCGUGAAACCAAAUAAUAUGUAAAAUCAUGCCCAAAUCAUAACUCGCUCCAUAUGCGAGGAAUUACAGAUUUAUUUCACAGAUAAACAUAUAGGGGAGCUGCGAAAAACUGUUUAAUUCCUUUUUCACCAUGCAGAGAAAUAUAAUUCAUAAUAUUAAAACUUAUUUCAACUCAUAUAAAACCAUUACAUUUUUGUAAAAAAUAAACAACAUGGCUUAUGACUUUCUUAAAAACUUGGCUUGUGCCAAAAUCAUUCUCAUACUCUGUUGUCAGGGAUACCUUGGCCUGGGGCUAUCCCAACCGAAUC